CCCUUAGACACUCUAGGCGGCACGCGCGCUACAAUGGGUGGAAGAACGUGUUACUGCCUCCGAAAGGAGGGGUGAAUCACGAAUUCUUGCCCGUGAAUGGGAUAGUUUGUUGCAAUUUUCGGACUUGAACUAGGAAUCCCUUGUAAACAUGCUCAAGAAUAGCGUGUUGAAUAUGUCCCUGCCGUUUGUACACACCGCCCGUCGUUUCUUCCGACUGAUACUCAUUGUGAGUUGCAAGGACCCUUUAUUGGGAAAUUGCUGCAAAUGCUUUGUAUUGGAGGAAGAAAAAGUCGUAACA
rnacentral:rRNA from 1 species